GAUGAACGCUGGCGGCGUGCCUAAUACAUGCAAGUCGAGCGAAGCGGGGACGGGUGUGUAACACGUGGAUAACCUCCUAUAAGACUGGGAUAACUUAGGGAAACCGGUGCUAAUACGGCAACUUAUCGCAGAAGCCGCGCGGCAUUAGGGAGUUGGUAAGGUAACGGCUAAGCAAGGCAACGCUUCAUAGCCGACCUGAGAGGGUGAUCAGCCACACUGGAACUGAGACACGGUCCAGACUCCUACGGGAGGCAGCAGUAGGGAAUCUUCCGAAAUGGGCGAAAGCCUGACGCAGCAACGCCGCGUGAGUGAUGAAGGUCUUCGGAUCGUAAAACUCUGUUAUUAGGGAAGCGUUACCUAAUCAGAAAGCCACGGCUAACUCCGUGCCAGCAGCCGCGGUAAUUC
rnacentral:rRNA from 1 species